rnacentral:rRNA from 1 species
AUUAAGUAGCAAUACGGCAAAAGAUGGGCGUGCGUCCGAUUAGUUAGUUGGUAAGGUAAAGGCUUACCAAGACAGUGAUCGGUAGGGGGCCUGAGAGGGUGAUCCCCCACACUGGUACUGAGACACGGACCAGACUCCUACGGGAGGCAGCAGUGAGGAAUAUUGGUCAAUGGAGGAAACUCUGAACCAGCCACGCCGCGUGCAGGAAGAAUGCCUUACGGGUUGUAAACUGCUUUUGUUUAGGAAUAAAAAUUCUUACGUGAUAAGGAUUGUGAAUGUACUAUACGAAUAAGUGUCGGCAAACUCCGUGCCAGCAGCCGCGGUAAUACGGAGGACACGAGCGUUAUCCGGAUUUAUUGGGUUUAAAGGGUGCGUAGGCGGUUUAUUAAGUCAGUAGUGAAAUAUUGCAGCUUAACUGUUAAAAUGGCUAUUGAUACUGAUAGACUUGAGUGAGAUUGGAGUAGCUGGAAUGUGUGGUGUAGCGGUGAAAUGCAUAGAUAUCACACAGAACACCGAUCGCGAAAGCAGGCUACUAAGUCUAUACUGACGCUGAGGCACGAAAGCGUGGGGAGCAAACAGGAUUAGAUACCCUGGUAGUCCACGCCGUAAACGAUGAUCACUAGUUGUUGGAUUUAUUUCAGUGACUAAGCGAAAGUGAUAAGUGAUCCACCUGGGGAGUACAGUUGCAAGGCUGAAACUCAAAGGAAUUGACGG